GAUCAAGAUGCAGCGUCUGCCUGUUUUCCCAGGAGGACAUUCCACGAAGAACAUUUCCUCUUGAUAUACAGCUUUGCAAAGUGUCCCUGUGACUGGAUGAAAACCCUUGCAGCAGUGUUUCAGCCCUGAAGGGUGCCCUCCUUGAAUUAACAAUCCCAAGAGAAGAUUGCCACUCAUUUCAGGGAUGCCCGAUUUGCGUCACUGUUUAAGAAGAUAUUAACUGAUACCAGUGAUGUUGCUCAAGUCCAGGCAGAAUACACAUAGAAAUAUCACGGGUCAGUGUUCGAAGUGUACUUGCAUACAGAUAUCGGAUGGUUUUGUUUCUGAAAACUGGAAUUUAAAAUGUGCAAUGAACUUGUGCUGAACACAGGCUGUCAUCUCCCUCUGCACCCUGAUGUUGGAUUACAAAGGCCCUGUUUUACCCUGAAGUGAGUGCUGCAGUGUUUAGGGAAGCACCACUGGGAUUAUCCUUGGGUGCCAGACUCCCCCCCUCCAUUACCCAGAGGCAUGCUGACCCCAUCGCUCUGCACUGCAUGUGGUCAUUGUGGUGUGCAGCUUUGUCGGUUACCUCAGUUGACUUUUCCUGGCAAAACGCAUCAAGUAAUUUUCCAUUCACUGUGGUCUGUGUGUUCAAGUAACUGUACAGUAACGAUAGUAUUUGGGCAUAGAUGAAUUGUGUUGGAUUCUGUAUAUGGUGUAUAUGUUGUUAAGACUGACUCAUCUUUAUUUAUACAGCUAGUUUCCUACUCUGGGCUGUACAAUUCAAUUCCUUCCUGUUUCAAUAUCAGACUAGCACUGCCACCGGUUCCAUCUGCAGUCCGUGAUCCAAUCUGCAACCAGCGAAGGUUGAAAAGAUGCUGGACAUACGGGUCCGGAUUGUGACGUGCUUUUUUCUGCUGUUUAUUUGCUUUUUCAACAGCAGUCUGUGACCCAAUUCAAUUCAGUUUGAUCUUUAGCUAUCAAACGAA